UACGGUAGGGGCUAGCGUUGUCCGGAAUUAUUGGCGUAAAGAGCUCGUAGGCGGCUUGUCGCGUCGAUUGUGAAAGCCCGGGGCUUAACCUCGGGUCUGCAGUCGAUACGGGCUGGCUUAGGAGUGUGGUGAGGGGAGGAUCGGAAUUCCUGGUGUAGCGGUGAAAUGCGCAGAUAUCAGGAGGAACACCGGUGGCGAAGGCGGAUCUCUGGGCCAUUACUGACGCUGAGGAGCGAAAGCGUGGGGAGCGAACAGG
rnacentral:rRNA from 1 species